UUAGUAUGAAUUCAAACAGGACAUGUAAAUUUAACAGGGUAAAUUAUACACCUGUUACAUACAUCUAUAGGUUUAAAACGAGGAAAAGGUUUGUCACGUGUCAUUGUUAAAUAGCGGCGAUGUGGGCGUGGCUAAAUGGCGUUGAUGUGAAGCGGAAUCCAGAGAGCCUACAGAUAUGGAAACUGCUCUGAGGCAGAUUCUCCAGCAGAACCAGAAGAAGAGGAGAUGCAGAGAAGAGAUAACAUCAAGAAACUGGUCAUGAUUGAGAUCAAACUGCCAGAUGAAGGACAGCAGACUGAAGGACACAAAGAACCAUCAGAAAUGGAUGAACAAUAUCACUGACAAUGAAGCUAUAAGAACAGAUAAACAACCCUAUAAUAUAUUACAGUGUUUUAUAUGUUGAUAUAAAUAACUAAUAGAGGAAAAGUAGAUUCUUAAUCACA